CAUCAUGCUUACCUGAUGUGACCCGAUUAGGAUCCAUCCUACCAUCAGCUACCCUGACCCGAAUCUCUCUCAGGGGAGAAGGCUAAUCAUCUACAAGUCUUUUCGGUCUGUGUUCGAUUUAAAGACACAAUGAAUCAAUGUGCUGUGAAGGGAUGGAUCCAUUUAAAAGUGAGAUCACAGCAACUGUUCAUCUUUCAUCUGUACCAAAGCCUUCAUAAGCCAAUGAGAGAUGCCAUAGCUGUCCUGGGAAAAUCAAGAAUUUUAGUUUGCCUGCUUGCUGCAUAUGCAGAAUCUAGCAGUUUAGAAAACUGCACAUGCUAACUUGAUCAACACAUGCAGCUCCACUUUCUGAUUGAGUCAGCAAGGAGAAGCAGCCUUCACCUCAAUUGCC